GAUAUGGCUCAGGAUGAACGCUAGCUACAGGCUUAACACAUGCAAGUCGAGGGGAAACGACAUCGAAAGCUUGCUUUUGAUGGGCGUCGACCGGCGCACGGGUGAGUAACGCGUAUCCAACCUGCCCAUCACUUGGGAAUAACCUUGCGAAAGUAAGACUAAUACCCAAUGAUAUCCCACGAAGGCAUCCGAAUGGGAUUAAAGAUUUAUCGGUGAUGGAUGGGGAUGCGUCUGAUUAG
rnacentral:rRNA from 1 species